GACGAACGCUGGCGGCGUGCUUAACACAUGCAAGUCGAACGGAGUGGCGAACGGGUGAGUAACACGGGGGUGCUCUUCCUUGCCCUUCGGGAUAAGCGUGGGAAACUGGGGCUAAUACCGGAUAGUGCAAGAUGAGUUCGCGGCCUAUCAGCUUGUUGGUGGGGUAACGGCCUACCAAGGCGUCGACGGGUAGCCGGCCUGCGAGGGUGUACGGCCACAUUGGGACUGAGAUACGGCCCAGACUCCAACGGGAGGCAGCAGUGGUGAAUAUUGCACAAUGGGCGGAAGCCUGAUGCAACGACGCCGCGUGGGUGAUGAAGUCCUUCGGGUUGUAAACUCCUUUCGACAGAGACGCGGUACCUAUAUAGGAAGCACCGGCUAACUACGUGCCAGCAGCCGCGGUAAUUC
rnacentral:rRNA from 1 species